AAAGAUGAGGACGUGCUUCCCAUCUAUCGCUCCUAUGCAGUUAGGAAAAUUCCACCUAGAUGAAAAUCUUGAGGCAAUAUUUCUCCACUCCUGCUCAGUUGGUCUUGCUAGGUGUGUCUCCAUCAUCCGCCUGUUGAUAGCUGCACAUGUGUCCUUGAUGGAUUUAGCCACUGUGCUCUCCCCCAUUCGGUAGUUAAAGGCAAUCGUUCUUACUGAAUUUCCUGUGGCCAGAUAUCUGUAAAACAUAAACAUUAAUAUAAACAUUAAUUUCUCCCUCUUCACAGAAAAUGAGUGCAGAAUGAGAUGGAAGUCCCUGAGAGACAACUACAUCAAGUGGAAGAAAAGACAACCGUUGCCAAGUGGCUCUGGAGCAGUGCGUCAACAGGAGUGGAAAUAUGCUGCUGCAAUUUCCUUCCUAGAUAUCUUCUUGCAAAAUAGAAGUAACGUUGACUUCGACAACCAUAUGGAUGGGUCGACCCAUGAGGGUGAUUUGGAAACACAAAUGACUCCAGAAGAGGAAAGCCCAGUACCAGAGACAACAGGGACCGAAAGUGAAGUUUCAGGAUGGCCACAGAGACCCAA